rnacentral:misc_RNA from 1 species
GAUGAAGAACGCAGCGAAAUGCGAUAAGUAGUGUGAAUUGCAGAAUUCCGUGAAUCAUCGAAUCUUUGAACGCACAUUGCGCCUUCUGGUAUUCCGGAAGGCAUGCCUGUUCAAGAGUCAUUAACAACCGUUUCGAUCCCUUUCUUUCAGAAAUUACAAAGAGGAAAAGGGUUUGGUUAUGGUGGAGGAGGGAAAGGGAGCGUUUAGCCUGUAAAAAAAGAGGCUGUGUUCCGCCUCCCCCCCAAAAUUGUACAGGCGGUCGUGUGCGCCCACGCAUCGAGGUGUUGUAAAAGCUGCCACGGCACUUUUCACCUGUGCAGUGCGAGAUUGGCCAGCCGGUUUAAAAACCCCUCCAAACAAUCAAAGGUUGACCUCGGAUCAGGUAGGGAUACCCGCUGAACUUAAGCAUAUCAAUAAGCGGAGGA